GAAAUGCGAUAAUUAAUGUGAAUUGCAGAAUUCAGUGAAUCAUCGAGUCUUUGAACGCACAUUGCGCCCCCUGGUAUUCCGGGGGGCAUGCCUGUCCGAGCGUCAUUGCUGCCCUCAAGCACGGCUUGUGUGUUGGGCUUCCGUCCCGGGCAACGGGGACGGGCCCAAAAGGCAGUGGCGGCACCAUGUCUGGUCCUCGAGCGUAUGGGGCUUUGUCACCCGCUCCCGUAGGUCCAGCUGGCAGCUAGCCUCGCAACCAAUCUUUUUAACCAGGUUGACCUCGGAUCAGGUAGGGAUACCCGCUGAACUUAAGC
rnacentral:misc_RNA from 1 species